rnacentral:rRNA from 1 species
CUGGUUGAUCCUGCCAGAGGUCACUGCUAUCGAGAUUCGACUAAGCCAUGCGAGUCGAAUGUUCUUCGUGAACAUGGCGAACUGCUCAGUAACACGUGGACAACCUACCCUUGGGUUCGGCAUAAUCCUGGGAAACUGGGGAUAAUACCGGAUAGGUCACAGCUGCUGGAAUGCACUGUGGCUCAAAGCUCCGGCGCCCAAGGAUGGGUCUGCGGCCUAUCAGGGUUGUAGUGGGUGUAAUGUACCUACUAGCCUACGACGGGUACGGGUUGUGAGAGCAAGAGCCCGGAGAUGGAUUCUGAGACACGAAUCCAGGCCCUACGGGGUGCAGCAGGCGCGAAAACUUUACAAUGCGGGAAACCGUGAUAAGGGAAUCUCGAGUGCCAGCAUAUAAUGUUGGCUGUCCAGAUGCCUAAAAAGCAUCUGUUAGCAAGGGCCGGGCAAGACCGGUGCCAGCCGCCGCGGUAACACCGGCGGCCCGAGUGGUAACCGCUAUUAUUGGGUCUAAAGGGUCUGUAGCCGGCCAGGUAAGUCCCUUGGGAAAUCUGGCAGCUCAACUGUCAGGCUGCUAGGGGAUACUGUUUGGCUUGGGACCGGGAGAGGUGAGAGGUACCUUGGGGGUAGGGGUGAAAUCUUGUGAUCCUCGGGGGACCACCAGUGGCGAAGGCGUCUCACCAGAACGGGUCCGACGGUAAGGGACGAAAGCUAGGGGCACGAACCGGAUUAGAUACCCGGGUAGUCCUAGCCGUAAACGAUGCUCGCUAAGUGUCAGUCACGGUGCGACCGUGAUUGGUGCCGUAGGGAAGCCGUGAAGCGAGCCACCUGGGAAGUAUGGCCGCAAGGCUGAAACUUAAAGGAAUUGGCGGGGGAGCACCAC